rnacentral:misc_RNA from 1 species
AGCAUAUCAAUGUACAUGCGAGUAAACGAAGUAAAACAGCUGAGCAACAGCGUAGAGAAUUCGUAAAACAGUUUAAAACUAAACUGCCUUGAGGCCAAGUCCAACAGUUAUUAACGAAACUUUAAUGAGGAAAGUGCACGAUAGAAACGAACCAAACAGGUUCAUUAGUUGAAAUAACGCUUGAUGUAAAUUGCUAACUCCGAACGUGUUUACCUGCCUGCUGUCUGUCUCAAACUCUAAAUCACAACACUUAAGUGCCAAACUGUGAUAGAAACACAAUAAAACAAAGUUGUUAGAAAGUAAAAACAAAAAGGCCAUAAAUAAUUAAAAACAUUAACACUUCAGAAUAUCGGAUUGAUAAUUACGAGUAAAUUGAAAAGGCGUAGUGACAAAUAAACGCAACGAAAAUGUAUAUGAAACACGGGUGCACGUCGACGCCCUUACUGCUGUGGCUGACCGUCAUCACAUUCUCCAUGCUGUACAACAACAUUACAUGCAUAGAAAUUCCAACACGUUUCCUAUACAAGCGCAGCGCUGAUGCGGAUAACACAGCGGCGGCUGCCGAUGCAGGUGAGCGGGCGCGAACGGACGGCACAAGUGAUGAGAAUAUGUUAACCUUCUACAAAGAGCUGGCCAAUGUGACCGAUGUAGAGGACUUAAUAGAACGCUUCGUGGAUAAGGAUAGCAUUGAUCCUCAGCUUGGCUUGCAAGACACCUUCAGACGCAGCGUGGAGCGCGCUAAUGUAGUACAAGCUAAGUCAGCUGCUUGCAUGCCCGAGAGCACCGUUGUGCCGCUCAUACCGCUGGAGUCCUCGAAUGAUCCAAAAAUCGACUAUUUUCCCAAGUGUACACGUGUGAAGCGCUGCGGCGGCUGCUGUGGCUCCCAACUGAUGUCGUGUCAACCUGCCGAGACGGAGACAAUCAACUUUGAGGUGAUUCCUUUUGAAGUGGUCGGCGGCAGAAAAAUGCGCCUUCGUGGCAAGGAUAUUGUCGUAGUUGAACAGCACACGAAAUGCAAAUGCGACUGUCGCAUUAAGGCGAAGGACUGCAAGCAAUAUCAGACAUACCGGCCGGACAAGUGCAGCUGUGAGUGUACAAAUGAGGAUGAUGAGUUGGAAUGUUCAAAGCAAGGACACAAAUACUGGGAUCAAACAGAAUGCCGUUGUGUCUGCCGCGACAGCCAGUCCUGUACGACCGGCACGAUAUUUGACGAUAGUCAAUGUGCCUGUAUCGAAAUAAACCAGAUCGAAUACGCGGUGUAAAAUUAGUUGAAAUAGCACACAGACUAAAAAUAAAACCAAAAAAAAAAACAAUUUUUUGUAAUGUAAUAAACUGAAGCUAAAAUACAACACUGUGUAUUAAGAACAAAAACUACAAACGAAACACUUAACAUUUUGAUAAAAGAAAAUCGUUAACUAUAAUGCAACUAGUGCAAUUAUAUAAUAUAUUUUUGUAAGGAAACACAUACACACAAUUACAUAAUACUAUUAUGAAUGUAGUAUGUAUGUAUGUUUGUAUGUUUUCAUAAACUCAAUAUGUACAUAUAAUAUAAUAUAAAUGGACUUAAUUAGCACUUGUGAUUCACAUUCUAAAUGAAUAUUACAAAUAAUUACUACUUGUUUAAGGCAUUUUAAAUGAAUUUUUGUCUUGAAUGUAACGAAAGCAUUUAUACGCUAACAUAAAUCACUACGACAGACGAUGGCAGCAACGCUAAAAGUGCAACUUCUAAUUCACCGACACUGCUCGAUCGCCGGCGUUUCAUAGUCAAGGCCAUACCCGUUGAGGUGAAACCGGAUGACAGCACACGUUAUUCGGUCUAAAACCACAAAGAAAGAGGAAAGCUUAAGAAUGAAAAGGAAAGGAAGAAGAGGAAAGGAAAUAAAGAAAUAAAAGGAAAUAAAAGGAAAUAAAA